UACAGAGGUCUCAACCGUUGUUCGGAUUCAUUGGGCGUAAAGGGUGCGUAGGCGGAUUGUUAAGUCAGGGGUGAAAUCCUGGAGCUCAACUCCAGAACUGCCUUUGAUACUGGCGAUCUUGAGUCCGGGAGAGGUGAGUGGAACUGCGAGUGUAGAGGUGAAAUUCGUAGAUAUUCGCAAGAACACCAGUGGCGAAGGCGGCUCACUGGCCCGGUACUGACGCUGAGGUGCGAAAGCGUGGGGAGCAAACAGG
rnacentral:rRNA from 1 species